rnacentral:lncRNA from 1 species
UGUGUUUCCACUCUACGGCGUGAGCGCCCCUUGGAUGAGUGUACUCAGCGUCCUGUUCACCAUCGCGGCCGGGCUGGUCAUCAGCCUGGCUACAGGAAGCCGAAAGGAGGUGAAGAGAAACUUGCUGCUAUCCAGUGGGGCAAUUGUUCGGAUCUGGAGGUGCGUUGGACUUCUUCGUAGAGAAGCUGUGGCUCCAGAAGCAAGUAUUGAGGCGCCUAAUGCUAAGGAAGCCACACUGCUUCUUCAAAUAAGUGAACAGAAAAUUGGGACGUGUUAGUUACUGUGGAAAUG